UGUUGUCCAAUCAUCCAUACUCUAUAUUUUUUUUCUCUCUCUCUCUCUUUCUCUCUCUCUCUCUCUCUCUCUCUCUCUCUCCUGUUUCUUUUGCUCUCCCUUUUAUUCUAUGACUCCUCAUGUAUUCUAGCUUCAAUUUGUUAUCUUGUACUACAGUCAAACCUGUCUACCUGUUCACUCAAGGCAAGGCAAACGGUGGCCUUUCUAAACAGGUUCUGCAACACACAUAUUUUUUUUCUUGAAGGAGACAAAAUGCAUGGACACUGUAGAAGGGUGGCCUUUAUAGAGAGGUGGCCACUAAGACAGGUUUGACUGUAUAUUUAUUAAAUUAUGAGUAUGAGAAUGGAAAAACAGGGCCUUCUGCAUCAAUCUUCAGAUUUAAACCCCUCAAACAAAAGUUUGGAAACUCAAGUAUUAUCGAUUAUAAUUCUCUUGACUUGGCAUAAUCAACACUAUGUUUAGUAUCAUUAGAAAAUGGGUUUAUUAUUCCUUUUCAGUCAUGGAAUGUGCAGUAGAUCAAAAUGAGGAGUAAGGUCAAUAGUGAAAAUUUGCAAAUGCACAGCUCUUGUUCGACUGUGCAUUCAAAUUGCCCUAGUGUCUGGGCCGUUUCAACAGUUGUUAGCCUCAGCAUGAUGCUUCCCAAAGUUGAUGACCAAACAGUAGCGAAUCUUGCCUGACAUAUCACCACAUUCCAUGAAUUGCAAUGUCAGAUUCUUAAAAGUUUGGCAUUCAUGGAUGACCAGUUGGGAAUAAAAGCCCCACUGUCAUUUACAAAAUCACACUCUUUUAUGUCAAACAAAGGAGAGAGUGCUCUGCAUAUUACAAUACCAUUGCUUACCAAAUCAUUUUGCAACUUUUCACAAUUCGACCCUGCCCCUUAUUCUGAUGUUCUAAUCACUUCCUGGCCACAAAAUCAUAACAAAUACAGAAUUAUUUUAAUGAUCAUAAUCAUCCCUAUGAUAAUGCCAUGAGCUAUAAUUGAUCCAACUUAAGUUUCCGAACUUGGUUUGAUGGGUUUAGAUAGUUACAUCUUCAAUAAACCUAUUUUAUUAUAAAAUUUAUUUAUUUAUGCUUCACAUUGUUUUGUACACAUAACUUGAUAUGAUGUUGUUUUAUAUUGAAUAAGCAUACAUGUGUGUGAGUUUCAGUAAAGUUAAAAUUUGCAUUAUUAUUUAAUCCUCACUUAGCUAGAGAACAGUACAGGACAAUCUAGAGUAUUAUCUUCUAUUUCCGAAUAUGUAUUUAUAUACAAAGUACAACAUAGUUUUGUAUUUUUAUACAAAGAGUUUAUCUAGUAAUAGUAUAGGGCUGAUUUAUGUAGAAGCGGUAGCUUGGAUUCACAGUGUCCUCUUCUCGUAGGUUUUUACCUUUGUGUGAAGGCUGAAGGAAAAAUGUGAAUUCUUUCAACGAGUCUACUUAUGAGUGCGAGGAUGCCCGGCCAAGUACCGAUUUAUACCUUUUGCUGAUUUGGAGUCGUACAGGGUCCCGUCUCAUAAAGAAUUGUGGUUAAUUCAAAUUGACUGCAACUUUAAUUGCAACUCUUUAUAUGAGAGAUAUCAACUUCAACACUGUAUAUAAGAAAGAGAGUAGAUUGUAUCUUUUCGAUUGAUUGGAGGAUUUGCAGUGGAUUGAGUUGCAUCACAAGUUUUAUGACAUUCCCCUCAUAUCAUGAACACUGAAAUGUGAUUUCAAUUAAGUUUCAGGUCUUGUACACUUAACAAAUGUGUAGAAAGUAAACAAUAAAGGGGCUGUUUUCUUUCUAUUUGUUGCAAAAUUGAAUAAUAUUGUUUAUUUUGAUCCCUUUUAUUAGUUAUGAUCUGGGACAGAUUGGAGGUGUGUUUGGGUUUACAUUUUUAAGGGUGCUAUGGGAAUUUUGAGGGCAAAAAGAUGAUACAAACAUAUUAGGAAAGGGGAAGACCACCCUUGCAAUAAAAGCAAAUAUGUGAAAUGGGUCGUUGAAAGUUCUUGGAAAAAUUAGGUUAAAAGUUAGAUAUGUCUGAGUUAAAAUGUUAUGUGUUAAAAUGUAAUGUUGUAUUUGUAUCUCUCCUCAUGCUUUGGUAAUUUUUUUCCCAGUCCCUUUUGUUUUCUUGCCAGGAAUAUAUAACGUGUCAUCUCUCAAAUUGCCAUUUUAAAAUCAAUCCAUCCAUCCCUCCUGUUGGUGCAUGUGUCUUUUGCCAAAAGUAAUCUGGAUUUCUAUUAACUUCUAAGACUAAAAUCUCCCUCAGAUAUGAUGAGGUAGACCGCAGCUUUUUUUUGUUGUCUUUUCAAUGAUGCGAGCAUAACAUUUUUUGUAUUAUACAUGUAUAAAUCAAAGCUAUUAGUAAGUGAAUAUGCAUAGGACUGAAAUGUCCUUUUGUAUGUAAUGUAAUAAUGUAAUAAUACGGCAUUAUCUGUUCCAUAUGGAACUCUUUGUUUGCUACGGGUCAAAAUGGAGGACGGACACAGUAUUACCGGUGCAAGUAGUCUAUGUAUGUUUGGAUGGAUGUUACAAGAUGGUACAUUGUCCAUGUGAAGAAAAUAAGUCAACUACCGUAAAUCUACCGUGUAUAAGACGCACCUGUGUAUAAGACCAAAAACGAACAAAAACUCUCUUCCCUUCCAGUAUGUAAUUUAUGCCGAGACACAUGCAGAGACGGUCAAACACCACUAAAAAGUAGCAUUUAUGAGGACUCAAAAUAUCCUGAACCUGCCUUAGUUAAGACGCACACCCAACUUUCGAUAUUUUUUUUCCGGCGAAAAAAAGUGCGGCUUAUACACGGAGACUUACCGUUUGCUGUCAAGUGUUUUUUUUUCCAUUAGUUGGAAUAGAGUUUAUCUCGAGUGGUGUUAAGAAAGCAAAAGCCACUAAAAAUUUGAAUUCAUUUUUUGUUGCAAUGAUUAAAGCAUUCAAGCAGCGCAUGAAAGAUUUAAAGGAAAUUAUCUUUAAAUUAACAACAUAUUAAGUAAUGUAAAACCAACCCUGCAAUUUGCAUGUAGGGUUAGCCGAGUUUGUUUUAUUUUAUCAUUAUCAUUGACAGGUCAAGUGAGAGUGAUACUUCAAAAUACAUAUGAGAAUGUUCUCAUUGUUUAUUGCUGUUCUUUUGUAGAAAGCCUAUAGCUUGUUAUAUGCCAAAGAUAUUCUACUUUGAUAAUAUUAUGCAAGUGCACUUUGCAGUUUAAGAGCAUAUUUGUGUUUGCUUGCUAUUGAUAUGUGUACAGAUUUGGGAGCUAUUCGUUACAAAAUUGUAUGCUUAUAUUUAGAGAGAUAUAUAUUCCUGCCUUCGAAUAGAAGUUUGAGUUCUAGGAAAGGUGAAAAAACAAUUUACAAGUUUCUCAUAAUCUCCUCGUGAAUUUGUACGAAAUUGUUAUCACCUGAAAAGGAUUGUUCUUCAAACGCCCUCAUAUUCCAAAUAUGACAAGAAAUAGAUUUGGACCAAACUGUAUAUGCCACAUGUGUAGUUCCAAGUGGGUCCCAUGUACCCAUUUCUGUGUGCCUCCAAACCGUUUUUUUUUCUUUCUUAUUGCUUGACCAGAAUUAAACAUUAUAUAUAUGGGCCGGCUCAAAUGGUGAAACUUAAAUGUAUCUAGAAUAUUUCAUAUUGUUUUGCAAAUUCAUGAUUUUGAGAAGCCUAUUAGAACAAAUGUACCAGAACAUAUUUUUAUGAGAGAAGUGCUUUUUUAUGUAAAUGAUUUGCAUACAUAUGCACAAAAAUCAUUAUAUUUGGUGGUAUUCACUUGAAUGUACACAUUAUAUAGUUAUAUAUAUAUUUAUAUACACAAUUUGUUGUGUUUGUGAUAAGAUUAUGCUUUGAAAUGUGUUACCUCUAGUAAAUUGCAUUUUGAAUGGAGCAUGUAGUUUUGUAUUAUUUCAAUUGAAGACAAACUUAUAUGUAUAUCUUGAAUUUGAUGAUCAUAUUUUUCUGUCAAUGGAGUUGCUUAUAAAAUCACAUUUUACAUUAAAAUGAGUAAUUUUUCACGUUUCAUAUCAAAUGAACAAAUUAAAAUUCCAAACAUUUA